rnacentral:rRNA from 1 species
UACAGGGGGGGCAAGCGUUGUUCGGAAUUACUGGGCGUAAAGGGUCUGUAGGUGGCCAACUAAGUCAGACGUGAAAUCCCUCAGCUUAACUGGGGAACUGCGUCAGAUACUGGAUGGCUUGAGUGUGGGAGAGGAAUGCGGAAUUCCAGGUGUAGCGGUGAAAUGCGUAGAUAUCUGGAGGAACACCGGUGGCGAAGGCGGCAUUCUGGACCAUAACUGACACUGAGAGACGAAAGCCAGGGGAGCAAACGGG